GGAGGGGGUUAGCGUUGUUCGGAAUUACUGGGCGUAAAGCGUACGUAGGCGGGUUGUUAAGUUAGAGGUGAAAUCCCAGGGCUCAACCCUGGAACUGCCUUUAAUACUGGCAACCUAGAGUUCGAGAGAGGUGAGUGGAAUUCCGAGUGUAGAGGUGAAAUUCGUAGAUAUUCGGAGGAACACCAGUGGCGAAGGCGGCUCACUGGCUCGAUACUGACGCUGAGGUACGAAAGUGUGGGGAGCAAACAGGAUUAGAUACCCUGGUAGUCCACGCCGUAAACGAUCAUCACUCGCUGUUGGCGAUAUACUGUCAGCGGCCAAGCGAAAGUAUUAAGUGAUGCACCCGGGGAGUACGCCGGCAACGGUGAAACUCAAAGGAAUUGACGGGGGCCCGCACAAGCGGUGGAGCAUGUGGUUUAAUUCGGAGCAACGCGCAGAACCUUACCAACCCUUGACAUCCUAGGACCGCCAGAGAGAUUUGGCUUUCACUUCGGUGACCUAGUGACAGGUGCUGCAUGGCU
rnacentral:rRNA from 1 species